AGCCAGCAGCCGCGGUAAUACGGAGGGUGCGAGCGUUGUUCGGAAUUACUGGGCGUAAAGCGCGUGUAGGCGGCUUUGCAAGCCAGACGUGAAAGCCCUCGGCUUAACCGGGGAAGUGCGUCUGGAACUGCUUGGCUUGAGUACGGGAGAGGGAGGCGGAAUUCCCAGUGUAGAGGUGAAAUUCGUAGAUAUUGGGAGGAACACCGGUGGCGAAAGCGGCCUCCUGGACCGAUACUGACGCUGAGACGCGAAAGCGUGGGGAGCAAACAGGAUUAGAUACCCUGGUAGUCCACGCGGUAAACGAUGGGCACUAGGUGUGGGGGGUAUCCACUCCUCCCGUGCCGAAGCUAACGCAUUAAGUGCCCCGCCUGGGGAGUACGGCCGCAAGGUUAAAACUUAAAGGAAUUGGCGGGGGAC
rnacentral:rRNA from 1 species